rnacentral:rRNA from 1 species
GACGAACGUUGGCGGCGUGCUUAAUACAUGCAAGUCAACUGAAGCAGUGGUAGCAAUAUCGCUGUGGAGGUGGCGCACGGGUGAGUAACACGUAGGUAAUCUGCCUUCAGGUCUGGCAUAACUCCGGGAAACCGGGGCUAAUAGCAGAUGAUGCAGCGGCUCGACAUCGAGACAGUUGUUAAAGCUAUGGCGCCUGAAGAUGAGCCUGCGUCUGAUUAGCUAGUUGGCGGGGUAACGGCCCACCAAGGCAACGAUCAGUAGCUGGUCUGAGAGGAUGAUCAGCCACACUGGAACUGAGACACGGUCCAGAAUACUACGGGAGGAAGCAGUAAGGAAUAUUGCUCAAUGGGAGAAAUCCUGAAGCAGCAACGCCGCGUGAGGGACGAAGGGCUUUUGCUUGUAAACCUCUGUAGUGAGAGAAAAAAAUCCCAAUCUUUGGGACAUGAUGGUAUCUCAAAAGUAAGCCCCGGCUAACUACGUG